GUGAGGAAUAUUGGUCAAUGGGCGGAAGCCUGAACCAGCCAAGUAGCGUGAGGGAUGACUGCCCUAUGGGUUGUAAACCUCUUUUAUGUGAGGAUAAAUGACGGUACGUGUACCGUUUUGCAGGUAUCACAUGAAUAAGGACCGGCUAAUUCCGUGCCAGCAGCCGCGGUAAUACGGAAGGUCCGAGCGUUAUCCGGAUUUAUUGGGUUUAAAGGGAGCGUAGGCCGCCUUUUAAGCGUGUUGUGAAAUGUAGACGCUCAACGUCUGAAUUGCAGCGCGAACUGGAGGGCUUGAGUGCGCGGUAAGCAGGCGGAAUUUGUGGUGUAGCGGUGAAAUGCUUAGAUAUCACGAAGAACUCCGAUUGCGAAGGCAGCUUGCUGUAGCGUUACUGACGCUGAAGUUCGAAAGCGCGGGUAUCGAACAGGAUUAGAAACCCUAGUAGUCC
rnacentral:rRNA from 1 species